rnacentral:rRNA from 1 species
GUAGGUGGCAAGCGUUGUCCGGAAUUAUUGGGCGUAAAGCGCGCGCAGGCGGUUCUUUAAGUCUGAUGUGAAAGCCCACGGCUCAACCGUGGAGUGUCAUUGGAAACUGGAGAACUUGAGUACAGAAGAGGAAAGCGGAAUUCCACGUGUAGCGGUGAAAUGCGUAGAGAUGUGGAGGAACACCAGUGGCGAAGGCGGCUUUCUGGUCUGUAACUGACGCUGAGGCGCGAAAGCGUGGGGGAGCAAACAGGAUUAGAUACCCUGGUAGUCCACGCCGUAACGAUGAGUGCUAAGUGUUAGGGGGUUUUCCGCCCCUUAGUGCUGCAGCUAACGCAUUAAGCACUCCGCCUGGGAGUACGGCCGCAAGGCUG